UGCCCAGAGAUGGAGGGAGCGUGCGCACGCGGGAGGGGGACGCAUCUCCAAGCUCGUCUCCUGUCCUCCAUGUCCAAGUCAGGCGGGUGAGACGGGGCCCCAGCUGUUUCCCCGGUGACCACAGAUCUGUAUUCAUCAAAUGAGCAACACAAACAAAACCAGCACGGAGCCCCCGCACCCGCCAUGGCAGUAAAUAACACCUGUGUCUUUGGAGUGCUUGCAGUCCUCCUCGCAAUGCGUCUGCGAUGCCCUGGGAAGCUGGUCCUGGUCUCCUUGCUGGAGACGCACGCCCGUAAAUUAUCCAGACCCAGGAAAGGCUGUUCGGGCAGAGACUGCAGGAAACUAGAACCAACCGGAAGGCUGUAGUUACAGAGAAGGCAGGGAAAUUCUGAGAAAGGGAAGAGAGAAUCGUGUGGAAUGUGCGUUGGAAGUAACUUCUCAGAGCGACUUUCUCAAACGGGACACCCCACUUCUUGUGUGCGGCAGAGCUCAUGCAUCUGCUGUGUGGACCGGCUUCCUCGACCUAUCUUCCCGGUGGCAGCAGGCUGUCAAAGCAGAAGGGAAGUGCUGGUGUGGCUCCCACUUCUACGUUCACAGCGCCGGUGCUCACGGGCGUCCCAGAAGGCACAGCCUCAGGAGGCCUCAGCCCACGCCAGCUCCAGGACCCACAGUCCUGGGUGACACCUGACACCUCAUCCACUCCGGGCUCUCGGGGUGCUGCAUGCUCCAGGAUGCAGUUGCAGGGGGACGUGAGGUAACAGCACAUGGAUGACUGCUGAGGCUGACGAUUCAGAUGAAGACUUCUGAGCAAAGACGAGGCAAAGGUCACUCUCCUUCCGGUAACUUCCUGGUGGCUGGGGCCCCACGGCAGGAGUGCCGCCUGGACUGUGGGGACCGGGCCAGGGAGCAGGGCAUCCCUUGUUUCCCAUCUGAGGUUGGCCACACUCUCAGACCACGGGCUCCUGGGCUGCCACACUUUGGGGACCUGCGCCACCGAGCUCAGGGUCACCCCUCACUGCCCUGCAGGGUUCUGACUUUGCAGAUGAUGGCCACCAGGCGGCGCAGGCGAGGAGACCGCAGGGACACCUGGUGCAGGCCGGUCCUCCUUCCAGCGCUGAAGGACAGCUAAGAGCCGUCCAACAAAGCAGAGACAGAGACCCUGGCGGCCAACAAGGGCCACAGAGGUGAGGCAAACUGGCCCUCUUGAGCCUCCCGCCCGUGCAGUCCCUGAGGUUGAGGACCCCACUCACCUCCUCCCUGCUCCAGGUGGGCAUCUCCCUGGGGGCCCCUGGGGCCACGCUGCUGGUCCUGGCACCGUGGGAGGCAGGGUAGCAAAGGAAUCAGGGUAGAGGACUGGAACCACCGGACACGGGAGUGGUGUGCUGAGAGGAACCCCGAGCCUAGUGUGGUCGAGCAGGGGGAGAAGGGGGGAGCCACAGGAACCCACAAAACCUGAAGGAAAGGGAGGUGGCGGAGGGGGAGCCUUCGGGGGUCACUUCAAGCCCACCCCCUGUGCCCUCUCCCCUGGGUCCUGGAGACUCCUUUUGACUCUCCCGACUCUGCGCCUGUGAGCACCUUGCCCCAGAAGGAAAGACCCGGUGGCCAGCCAGGACCAGAACAAAGUGGGGGUGACAGGCUGGCUGGGGUGCCCACCUCCACACGUCCUCGGUUGGCUGCUGAUGGAGCUGGCCUCUCUUCCACUCUGGGGCUGGGGUCUGCAGAGGUGGCUGGUCGGGCCCAGGCUCUAUGAUUCCUCUUUUAAACAAACCCAAGGUGGCCCUGUCCUUCCCCUGAGCUGUCACAUAAAUCUCCGUUUAGUGCCACCGGCCUUCUACCCAGGGAGCUGUCUGGGAUGUUUUGAGAAGGACGGGAGGUCAAAUGGUCGCGCUUUAGUGCUGAUGGGGUUGACAGCUAGGCCUGGGUGCCAGACUGGGGAGACAAAGGAGCCUCCAGGGGCGCCCUAGGGGCCCUGAGCUCGGCCACCCGGGGUCAGGGACAGGCCGCAGUCAUGAAGGAAGGGCUCUUGCGGGUUCGUGGGGGCAUGUGCCUCCCUGCCAGUCCUUGAAUGUGCACAUGGGCAUCUACAGAGAAACGCCCGGAAAUAAGGCCGCGCCCCCAGAUUUAGGAAUUUCUUUCUUGCCAUUUUUCAUGUUUUCGUUGAACACUGGGAAUGGGACGCUCCCCUGCCCACAUGUGGACGCUCUCGGGGGCCGGAGGCUCCAACUCCAAGCCCGUGUCUGCUGCAUAAGAAUCUUCAUCAGGAUGGUCAUCCCUGAGUCAGGAUGAAAAGCCCCUCGUGUUUUCCUCCGGGGCCAUGAGCCGUCCCAGGCCCCAGGUCCUUCGAGGCCUAGCCCCUUAGCUGACAAGAAGAGGGCUUGGAAACCCCUUCCUCUCGGCACUGGCCAGGCUGCAGCUCCUCCUCCUGUCCCAACCCUGCCCCUCAGGUCUCCAUUGCUGGCCUUGGACCUUGGGGUGUGUUGGGCUGCAAUGCUGAUCCUGCUGGAGAGGGAAUCUGCUCUUCAGAGAGGUGUUCGAGAGUUCCGUCCUGCUGUUCUCAAGGUCGCCCGAACAGCCCAGGAGGUGCCCAAGGAGGCUGGGGCAGAGCCAGGCUCUGGAGACCUGUGGCCAGGAAGCGGCUUGGCAGGGAACCCUGGAGGGCUUCUUGGCAGAGGUGUCACCCUUGGGUGUACCUUGGCCCUGCUAGGGGAGCAGGGGAGGGGCAGGAGACCACAGGAGAGAGCAGCAGUGUUUGUGGGCGGGGCCUGAGCCACUCCAGUUUGGGUGUCCCUGGGAUGGGACGGCAGAGGGCAGGUCAGUGGGUUUAGGAAGAUACCUCCCGGACCUGAGCGAGGCUGCUCUGAGGGCCGGGGAGUCUGAAAUCGGGCCUGGGUUUCAUAAGUGCAGCCUCUGGCUGUUCCAGUUGUCCCGGAAGGGGAUGGGACAUCGACCAGAGGGAAAUCGAGGCUGGAGGUGGCACAGGUGCGGCACCCACCCUGGGAAAUGCGGGGUUUCUAGCAAAAUCCAGAUUCAAGCCGGGGCAGGAUGGGCUGGGCUCCGCUUCUUACUGCUUCAGAAAUAUGGGGACGCAACCUUCAGAGGAGCGGCCCGGAAGGUGUCCAGGCCCAUUUUGGUCUCGGGAGUCCGAAGGUCUGGUGAGUUCUGUGUGGAACUGGGACGGAGCCCAGAAGGCGGUGCCUCACUCCAGACAGGUUCACUCUGCCGCCCUCACCACUUUCCGAAGAGGCUCUGAGCUCUCUUCUGACUGAAGCAGAGGUCAGGCUCCGUGGGGGAGCUCGCCACAGCUCUGGGUGUGGGGAACGCAAGGCUGGGUGGGAGGGCAGGGGCCUGGCCCAGGCUGGGUUUGGAGCUG